AUCUGCGGCCAUGCCACCAUGAACGCGCCUGAUCUCAUCUGAUCUCGGAAGCUAAGCAGGGUUGGGCCUGGUUAUUAGUAGGAUGGGAGACCAUCUAGGAAGACCAGGUGCUGUAGGCG
rnacentral:rRNA from 1 species